CCAGAGCAUCAUUCGUGAAGGAAAGCUAUUGAGGGAGAGUAAGCCUGGAAACCAGGAUGCCUAUGGAGUGUCUUCUAUGUCUUCAUCUUUCUCGUCUGUGGAACCACCUCCUCCUCUGGCUUUGGAGCAAUUAUCCAGUGAGCAUCAUCUCAUUGUGGCAGGGGAUCGCGUGCAUGGCUGAAUCCAGUCUUGAGCUCUGUAAGGUCAACUGAGCAUCUCUGAAGCUUUGCUCAGUGGCUGUGUUCAAUGACUAGAGAAUCUACAGCUAAGAGGGUACACAUAUACUGAAGAUGAAGUGAUGGAAAAAGAUACUUGAUAUAAAUUGUAAAUAAAAGCAAAGAGAUAUGUUAAGUCAGUACUAUCACAAGAGACAAAGAAGAAGCCCAUGAAGAUAUAGUAAAUGCCUAUGCUCCCAAGAUGUAAACACAUAAAGCAAGUAGAUGUCACAUUCAAUAGUGGAUAGGGCAGAGGCAGAAAAUUAGCAAGAAAAUACUGAAAGAACAACGCAAGUGCAAAAGAAACGAAAGUAUCCAGAACAUUCCACCACUAAAAGCAUACAUAUGUUAUCAACAAAUACAACAAUUGCUGUAGAUCACAUUGAAGAUCAUCCACAGUCUCGACAAAUUUAGGAAAAUUGAAAUAAUUUAAAGUAAUGCUUCUGACCUUAACGUGAUGAAAUAAGAAAUCAUAACAGGAAGUUUGGAAAAAUUACAAAUACAAGGAAAUGACACAACAUACUCCUGACCAAUCAGUGGGUCACAGAAAUAAUCAAAAGGGAAGCAAAAACUAUCUGGAGAUAAAUCAAAAUGUAAACACAACUCAUUUCUGGCUUUGAUAUAGAGGAAAAGCAUUUAUAAAAAGGGAAGCUUACAGCAAUACACUCCAACAUCAAAAGGAGAGCUGAAACCAACCACACACUGUCCUGAAUUAGACAAAGGAACAAACUCUGUUCAAAUUUACUUGUUGAUGGGAAAUAAUAAAUGAAGAGCAGGAUAAAGUAUUUCCCCUUACCACCAAAAUUGUUUGCUUAACUACGACUGAAUUUUGUGUUGUUUGGGACAUACACACACACACAUACAAACACACGUUUUUAAGAAAGGGUGUUAUGGUUAAGGAUUCUACUGGCUAUGAACUAGAGAAUGACUGCUAUUCUUUCUGGUACUAUUCUGAGUGCUGGGGAUACAGGAUGCUAGACAACCACUCAACCAGGCGAUGUCUUCUAACUGAAGAAAAGCUCAGGAGCACUUUCACUCACUGAAUUCUACCCUAAGGACUUCAUCAAGCUCAUUCUCUGAAUAUGCACACUAUUUUGUCCUUCAUAAACAUACAAUAAAUGAAAUAUAUUACAUGCAUAGAACCAAGGCCAGAAAAAUCACAUGAUCAUCUUUGAUGCUGACAAUGACUUCUUUAAGAAGAAUAUUAUCUCAGCCUAAGUGCCAUAUAUAAUGCAGAGUGAACACAACGUUCAAUGGAGUCUACCUGAAACUGUUUUCUCAACAAUAAAGAAUGUCAUAGGGCUGCCCACCCUCACACUAUCUAGUCAAUAGCUUUGAAUCCUUAGCUAGAGAAAUGAGGCCCACACCAUUGCCACCUGAAGCUUUUCUGUAAACAAAUACUGAAAACGAUGAGAAAGACUAAGAAUUUCAUUCACAAGCGAAUUUAAAAUGUCAAAAUGCAAACAAACCUAACCAAGACUUUAGAAAUGAAAACUGUAAACCAGAUUAAUACAUUAGACACUGACCAACACUAAACAGAAGUCAUAUUAAUGUCCUCAUCUAAACUGAAAUUCUCAAGAAAUUUUGAAUGAUAUUCAUCAAAUAACUGGAGUAAAAUCUUGCAACUCAUACGAAAAGAGCCAAGGCAAUCAUCAGACCAAUGACCAAUACCAAUAUCAGACUUCAGACUAUACUAGAUCAGGAGACCACAAGGAUGUAGAAAACCUUCUUAAAAAAACAUCAGCAUUAUGAUUGGUUUUGUUUUAUGCAUAUAGAUGUUCUACCUGCAUGUCUGUUUGUACACCAUGUAUGUAUGUGCACAUUCCAUGCAGAAGCCAAAACAGGGUGCUGGGAAUCCACCAAAGGGCUUACAAGCCACCUCUCAAGCUACCCCCACGAAUGGAUUUAUUAAAAUAGUUGACAUAGGCAUCUGCCAUGGUGAAUUCAGCUUCCACUCCUGCUCAUAGUGACAAACUAUUGUGCUUGUUAAUUCUCACUGGAAACAAUCCCAUGCCUUGGCACCUUUACCACAAGGUGUAUUCUGGUAAUAAUUCUGAGACUUGGUGGGCAUGUCACUGGCUCUGUCACAUUCAGAUGCUUUUCCUUUCACCUUGAAUUUGGCAAAUUGCCUAGAUGGGUACCACGGGCACCAAUCUAGUAUGUUUAAAAGCCAUACCUAUGCCUUAGCUCCCUUACCAAAGUGAGAACCAACUUUGCUGAAUCACGAUGGGAGCCUAUUGCGAGGGCUGGGCUGUAAACACUGAGCGUGUCUCUCCGCUUUCAACACAAAGUUCCCAAAGAAAGAGUAGGAUACCCACUUACAGAAUAUCUCUGCUUUUCCCGCUAUCCAAAGAAUAGUGCAAAAUGGAUAAAAGGCCCUAAUGUAAAUCCAGAAACUACAACUUGUAAAGGAAAAUGGAGAAUACUUUGCAUUAAAAUCAAAGGCAAUAAUUUCUGAAAAGGAAUAGCUUAAGAAAUAACAGCAAAGUCUGACAAAUGGGAUCACAUCAAAGUGUAAAGUACAGCAAAGGAAAUAAAGAACGGAAGGUCCUCUGACAGAAUUCAUAUUGGGAACAUGAAAAGAAUUAAACACCAAAAGAAAAAGAAAUUCACCCGUGCUGGACACCUUACAAAUAUUUAUAUAACACCAGGUUCAGAAGAAAUGUGAUACCUUAAGCGUCUGGCCUCUAUAAGCACAAGAACUCAUACAUAGAACUAAGGACAAUUAAUCUAAAUCUUAAAAACCUUAUACCUAAAAGUACAUAUGAACCUUGCUCGUAACUGUCAGAAGUAGAACGAUCCCACAUGUUGAACAAUUAGAGAAUCGUGUAAAACUCACCAGCAUGGGUAAAUAAUGGGUCCAUUUAAGAAGCGAAAGCAGCCAGACUCCUAAUUCUAAACACAGUAUAUGAUUUGACAUAUUUCAAUUUCAAACAUUUGCUGUGUAUAUAGAUCAAAAUAGUUGUUCCCAUGCAUAGGAGUAAAAAGGGACUGAUUAUGUAAGACGUCCUACUGCUUGGCACGAUAGCAAUACUCAAUUCCACUUUGCAAAUCACGAAAAAGGCAGGGCAACACAGACCCCCUGCAGAAAACGGCAGCUACAAAAGCAUUCUGCAGGAACGGAAGAUAUGCAACUAUAUAUUUUUAACAAUGUAUAGGACCACAGAUGAGAUUAUUAGCAGAACCUUCCAGAGAAUGUUAUAUAGUAAUUGUUUAAUGAAAUAUCCACAUUUACUAGUUACAGGCAGGAAUUUGUACAAGUAUAUUGAGAAUAAUUCAACAGCAAGUAUUCAAAAGGAAAUAAUUGGUAGAAAUUAAUUCUCAAGAAACAAGAUAUAUAACUAUUAAUGUAUGGUGUAUAAUACAUUUUAUAUUAAAAAUUUGUUAAGUCCAAUUUGUACAAUAAUAAAUCCAGAAGUACAUAUUCGAUGUAGAACUUAUAUUAAACUUAAUGUGAACAUAACGGUUUGAGUCUAUUAAUUUGCAUGGUUUUGUGGGUCUAGAGAGUCAUGAACCACGGGUCACCUCUGGCCGCUUACAGGAAGAGUAUCCAUACUUUUACAAGUCAUUGCUUCAAGGCUUAUAUAAUUGUGCAUGUUCAUAACUUUCAAAAUGUUGAUCAUGUUACUUUCACUGAGGGGGAAAUUUCAUUUUUAAUAGAAUACAGAAAAGCUCAGGCCAAUUGAAUCGAGUUUUUUAAUGGCUGUCAGUCAGUAGGUCAUAUUCUUGCCAACUGGGUGUUGGCUUUCUUGCUCCUUCAUUUAUCGGACUAACUCACAAGACCAUAAAAAUUUAAGUUCAACUUGUCUGGUGAGCUGAAGAGUUACAUGAAGAGAAACAUCCCUGUGCCAAACAUCUCCCAUGAGAAAAAUUCCCUGUUGGACAAACAGCAGGAGCUACUUCAGGGAAUGCUUGUUGUACUUUUUCACUCAGUUAAUUAGCACGUCUGGUGCUAUCCCUUGCCCUUGAGCCCUUUAUCCAUGUAGCAGAAUUCAAUGAAAACCCUGAUCUGGUUUGUCAAUCGGGUAAAUAGAAAUCUUUAAAAAGGAGUAAUACGUAGAAAUCUCCAAUCCUUGAGAAGCAGUUUAUGUAUCCCUCACAAAAUAAAGACACCUCAUUCACUCCAUCUUUCUCUCACUUUGCUCCAAUGGGAAACUCCCAAAACGUCACUCUCCAUCUUCUUGGGGCGCCACUCUUGUUGUUCUAUCCAGAGAGCAACACGGGUCCCACUCUGCACUGUGUUUUCAUUCACGAUGCAGCCUUUUCCAGUUCU
ensembl:lncRNA